GGAGAGAUGGCUGAGCGGCUGAAGGCACUCGCUUGGAAAGCGGGCAUACUGUAACAGGUAUCGCGGGUUCGAACCCCGCUCUCUCCGCCA
rnacentral:tRNA from 1 species